rnacentral:rRNA from 1 species
GGAGCUUGCUCCUUGGAUCAGUGGCGAACGGGUGAGUAACACGUGAGCAAUCUGCCCUUGACUCUGGGAUAACUGCGGGAAACUGUAGCUAAUACCGGAUAUUACCUUGGAAGGCAUCUUCUGUGGUGGAAAGAAUUUUGGUCAAGGAUGAGCUCGCGGCCUAUCAGCUAGUUGGUGAGGUAAUGGCUCACCAAGGCGACGACGGGUAGCCGGCCUGAGAGGGUGACCGGCCACACUGGGACUGAGACACGGCCCAGACUCCUACGGGAGGCAGCAGUGGGGAAUAUUGCACAAUGGGCGCAAGCCUGAUGCAGCAACGCCGCGUGAGGGACGAAGGCCUUCGGGUUGUAAACCUCUUUUAGUAGGGAAGAAGUGACUGGGUUUUCCUGGAAGUGACGGUACCUGCAGAAAAAGCACCGGCUAACUACGUGCCAGCAGCCGCGGUAAUACGUAGGGUGCAAGCGUUGUCCGGAAUUAUUGGGCGUAAAGAGCUCGUAGGCGGUUUGUUGCGUCUGCUGUGAAAACCCGAGGCUCAACCUCGGGCCUGCAGUGGGUACGGGCAGACUAGAGUGCGGUAGGGGAGAUUGGAAUUCCUGGUGUAGCGGUGGAAUGCGCAGAUAUCAGGAGGAACACCAAUGGC